rnacentral:rRNA from 1 species
GAUGAACGCUGGCGGCGUGCUUAACACAUGCAAGUCGAACGGGAAUAAGUUGAAACCUAGUGAUACUUAUUUUAGUGGCGGACGGGUGAGUAACGCGUGGGUAACCUGCCGUAUACAGGGGGAUAACACUUAGAAAUAGGUGCUAAUACCGCAUAAGCGCACAGGACCGCAUGGUCGAGUGUGAAAAGAUUUAUCGGUAUACGAUGGACCCGCGUCUGAUUAGCCAGUUGGCAGGGUAACGGCCUACCAAAGCGACGAUCAGUAGCCGGCCUGAGAGGGUGAACGGCCACAUUGGGACUGAGACACGGCCCAAACUCCUACGGGAGGCUG